UGGGGAAUAUUGCACAAUGGGCGAAAGCCUGAUGCAGCGACGCCGCGUGAGGGAUGACGGCCUUCGGGUUGUAAACCUCUUUCAGCAGGGAAGAAGCGAAAGUGACGGUACCUGCAGAAGAAGCGCCGGCUAACUACGUGCCAGCAGCCGCGGUAAUACGUAGGGCGCAAGCGUUGUCCGGAAUUAUUGGGCGUAAAGAGCUCGUAGGCGGUUAGUCGCGUCUGCUGUGAAAACUCGAGGCUCAACCUCGGGCUUGCAGUGGGUACGGGCUGACUAGAGUGCGGUAGGGGUGACUGGAAUUCCUGGUGUAGCGGUGGAAUGCGCAGAUAUCAGGAGGAACACCGAUGGCGAAGGCAGGUCACUGGGCCGCAACUGACGCUGAGGAGCGAAAGCAUGGGGAGCGAACAGGAUUAGAUACCCUGGCAGUCCAUGCCGUAAACGUUGGGCACUAGGUGUGGGGUCCAUUUCCACGGAUUCCGUGCCGCAGCAAACGCAUUAAGUGCCCCGCCUGGGGAGUACGGCCGCAAGGCUAAAACUCAAAUGAAUUGACGGGGUCAUAGCUG
rnacentral:rRNA from 1 species